rnacentral:rRNA from 1 species
ACGGGUGAGUAAUGUAUCGGAACGUGCCUAGUAGCGGGGGAUAACUACGCGAAAGCGUAGCUGAUACCGCAUACGCCCUACGGGGGAAAGCAGGGGAUCGCAAGACCUUGCACUAUUAGAGCGGCCGAUAUCGGAUUAGCUAGUUGGUGGGGUAACGGCUCACCAAGGCGACGAUCCGUAGCUGGUUUGAGAGGACGACCAGCCACACUGGGACUGAGACACGGCCCAGACUCCUACGGGAGGCAGCAGUGGGGAAUUUUGGACAAUGGGGGAAACCCUGAUCCAGCCAUCCCGCGUGUGCGAUGAAGGCCUUCGGGUUGUAAAGCACUUUUGGCAGGAAAGAAACGUCAUGGGCUAAUACCCCGUGAAACUGACGGUACCUGCAGAAUAAGCACCGGCUAACUACGUGCCAGCAGCCGCGGUAAUACGUAGGGUGCAAGCGUUAAUCGGGAUUACUGGGCGUAAAGCGUGCGCAUGCGGUUCGGAAAGAAAGAUGUGAAAUCCCAGAGCUUAACUUUGGAACUGCAUUUUUAACUACCGAGCUAGAGUGUGUCAGAGGGAGGUGGAAUUCCGCGUGU